rfam:Entamoeba invadens IP1 unplaced genomic scaffold scaff_1105074724527, whole genome shotgun sequence.
GGGGAUAUAGCACAACGGUAGUGCAUUUCCUUUCAAUGAGAACAAUUUUAGGAAAAAGAUGUUGGGUUCGACUCCCAUUAUCCCCA